rnacentral:lncRNA from 1 species
CCCAGUGAAAGCUCUUGGGAAAAGAAUGUGUACAAAGCAAUAUAAGAAUAAAAUGUGCUUUCUGGAAGUAAGAAUUGAACAAGCAAAGAUGGAGUUAGCUAAGGCUGGGAAAUCUUAGGAUGGUGAACCAUCAUGUUUCCUGAAUGUGAAUCCUGUACCUGGUUUGACUGUAGUCACCCCUUCUCCAACACUCUCCACGAUGCCGGCUGCCUCAUGGCCUAAAAUCACAGGAAGUGGGGUCACCAUGGUACCACUAACCACGUGGUCAUCUGUGCCACAGAUUCCUACAGCCACCAUCUACAGAGUGAAGAGAAGAUGUUUAUAAAAGAUUGUGAGUCUCAGGAUGUUCAACAUGAUCAAUGCCAAAUAAAUAUCAGAAUACUUGGAAGUAAAGUACUAAUAGUAGGAGUUCCUGAUUAUCAGGUGCCUAUGAUGUGACAGGCACAUUGUGGCCUGUGCUCGACCAGGAGACUGGUGAGUCCUUGUGGAUUUCUUCCCUGCUCAAGUGCAUAAAGCAGGUGUAUUGCAUAGGCUGAGAUCAAAGACGGAGAUGUGCCUACCCGCAGAUCCUAGAUGGCCAUGUUUGCAACAGAGGUAAUGAUGAGCAGUGCGAAGAUGUGACUCCAAAGCCUGGAGAAGGACAGACCAGCAUCCCUGCAAGAGAUCCAACUGUCUUCUUUUCCGCAGAGGUCCAUAAUUUACAUGGGCCUGACAAAGAAUACUGUAACUUGCAGAAAUUAUCUUCAGUUCAAAUCCUUCAUUUUGGGGGUUAAAUAACUUGGUAAGAUAAUGAGAUUAAUAUUAUUGUAAAGAUUGCUAGAAAGAAUUGUAACAGUUCAUGUAUGUGCAUAAAUAACAACCUUAAAGCAUGUUUUGGGAUGAGGUGCAAAAUGAAAAUUGGGAGAGGGACUUUAGUAGCAGUAAACAGAACUUGAGAAUGGAAUAGAUGCAUACUCUAUAGCACACUGCAAUAAAUAGAAUACAUUUUAAGUUCCUAGAGAAAUUUUUGAAAAUGCCACAUUCAAAGCCAUCAAUCCCUACUCAAUUAGCAUUUCAUUUUGAUUUUGGUACUGAAGCCCAAGAUGUCGAGGGAGCGGAAAUACUUGCUGGUCUUGCAGCGGCUGUGGAGCCUGGAAUCCUGCCAAGAAGAGCAUGUGUGAGAGAUCAAAAUGUUUGCUUACAUUCCUCCUGUGAAGGGAGUUGGGAAAUAACCUAAGAAGCCCAAUCCAAAAACAAAGAUGUACCAUCCAGUCUUCUCUGUGAGAACCAAACUACAAACCAUCUGAAUGUUCCAAAAGUGUUUUGAUGAUGUAUUGAUGUAUUUUAAAUUAUCCUGAAAAUGUUCUUGGCAGAUGCUUAAACAUGUAAUUACUGAGAUGAUGUAGAAAUACCAAGUGUUUAUUAAAACAAUACAGAGUAAUACAAAUGGUAUGUUUGUCGCAAUAUAAAAGUAUCUAAAAAUUAAAGAGUUCUUUAAUGGUGGAGAUUGUUUUCCUUUUUGAAGUUAAAAUAUAAAUUUUUGUAAAAAGCACAAAUUAUUACUAUUUAUAGCUAACAUUUAUGGAGUGCUGAC